GUCGGUUUCACUGGCGUCCGUGUGAAGAGACCACCAAACAGGCUUUGUAGCAAGCAAUCAGGAAGGAAAGGCCACAAGCAAAUGGAAACCCCACCAGCACAAGCUAGAGCUCCACAAGGAUAGACUGAAACUCAUGUUCUUUGUGGUGAGGGCAUCCUACAGAGGUUGGGCAUUUGUUCCAGAUCUGAACACACACACCUGGCCCAGCUCCUGCAUCACAUCAACAAGGUGAGUCAGCAGAAGCGAAUGAUGCUGCCAGUGAAGAAUCCGUGAAUAGCUGCCUUGUAAUACUCGUCAA
rnacentral:lncRNA from 10 species